rnacentral:lncRNA from 1 species
GUGGGCAUCUUUGUACCCCUAAUUCUACUUCGGACACUUGUCCAUUUUUACCUCUCGUCUCACUCUUUUUCUUUCUUUUUCGAGGUUCCCGGGCACUUGCCCCUUUUUAUUUCCUCGUAUAUAUUUUUGCAUAACCCAUGCUUCUUCUACAUUGAAUCUUUUUAGAGAGAGAGUAUAACAAUAUUCGGGACAGUGAGUGAUAACAUUUUUAGCAAUUUUAAUGAUUGAUGAUGAAUGUUGUGGUAGAUGUGUGCAAGUGAAUAUCUUAAUUUAACCACAUGAAAAGCUCCUA